CCAAAACAGGAACUGCUGCUGCUCAUAAUCACAUAGUUUUACGUUGUCUUGACAGAUUCUCGCAGUUUCGUCUCUCCACGAGAAUCUGUCCACAAGAGAUUAGGAAACACUGCAAAAAAAAUGGUUCCUUUCCUUCAGUCAGUUGAAUGGAUCUUAAAGUAACAUUAUAAAUACUGUCACCACAGUUCCCAGAGUGACAUCAUAAAUCACUGGCACCACAGUCCCCAGAGUGACAUCCUAAAUCAGUGUCACCACAGUCCCCAGAGUGACAUCCUAAAUCAGUGUCACCACAGUCCCCAGAGUGACAUCCUAAAUCAGUGUCACCACAGUCCCCAGAGUGACAUCCUAAAUCAGUGUCACCACAGUCCCCACAGUCCCCAGAGUGACAUCAUAAAUCAGUGUUACUACAGUCCCCAGAGUGACAUCAAAAAUCAGUGUCACUACAGUCCCCACAGUCCCCAGAGUGACAUCAUAAAUCAGUGUCACCACAGUCCCCAGAGUGACAUCAUAAAUCAGUGUCACUACAGUUCCCAGAGUGACAUCAUAAAUCAGUGUCACCACAGUCCCCACAGUCCCCAGAGUGACAUCAUAAAUCAGUGUCACCACAGUCCCCAGAGUGACAUCAUAAAUCAGUGUCACUACAGUUCCCAGAGUGACAUCAUAAAUCAGUGUCACUACAGUUCCCAGAGUGACAUCAUAAAUCAGUGUCACUACAGUACCCAGAGUGACAUCAUAAAUCAGUGUCACUACAGUUCCCAGAGUGACAUCAUAAAUCAGUGUCACCACAGUUCCCAAAGUUUAGAAAGAAAUACACUGCAAUUCAACAGCUCCAUUAAAACAAAAGACAUAGUGGAGAUAAGUAUUAGCAAUGUGAUGGCAAGGAUACAGUCCUCAUCCAGGGAGUAGGCCUCUGCUAUCUGUGAAGAACGAGACAUAGAGAGAGCAAGAGAGAGAGAGAAAGAGUUAACAUUUGGCAAUGUUAGCAUAUGUUUCACAUGCCAAUAAAGUCCUUAAAUUGAAAUUUAAUUGAGAGAGAGGGGAAAAAAACACUACAAACCGACCUGCUCACUCAGAAUCAGACUUGUAUGUCAGGGUUUUACUUAAAAAUAUAAUGUGUUCUCAAUAUGUUACAUAAAGAAAUACAUAAACUAGAUAAAAUAAUUUACUUUCUAAAUUAAACUAUUUUAUUACAAAGUUUUUUUGCUGAAGAAAAAUGAUAUGCUUGAUUUAGCUGCAGACUCUAGAAUAGAUAUUCUCGUGCUUGGUAAUGAAGUCUUGGAAGGUUUAGGGAAAAAAGACUCAAGAUGGGACUCAGAUGUCACGUGGUAAAUAACAAGCCGUUGUGUGUCAGAUUCACUUAUAACAUGACGCGCAGCAGAACUCAAAACAACUCUGUAGAGCCACACACAUACUCCAGAUGCCAUGACAUUUCCCAUAGAGGUCAACGUCUGUUUACAAGGAGUUUACUUCUCUUGGUCAGUUAUUUUGCCAAUGCUCCACUGAAUUGUACCAGUCUGAUCACAGAGCAACUCUUUCUUCUGUAUCAGUGUAUAAGAGGCCCGUCCCAAUUGGCACCCUGUUCCCUGUAUAGAACGCUACUUUUGACCAGGGCCCAUAUGGGAUGACCAUAUGUAGGGAAUAGAGUGCCAUUUGAGACCCAGCCCUUAGUGUAUCAGUGUUGCCGGUCCUUUCUAUGGGACGUCUAAAUCAUAGAUGGCUCUUUGUUCCAUGAUGACCAGAAUUGGCAAAGAAAGAAAAACAACUACAAGGCUAUUACAGUACUAUGGGGGACAACACAGUGACAGAAUAAGAUUAGAACAGUGUACAGAGAAAGGGCAUCAAAGAGUAUCUGAAAUUAAUCCCAAGGAGUACCUUUAAAAAUGUGCUUGUCUUGUCCUACUGGCAGUGAAUUUGCUGAUUACUUUAAUGAGGGAAACGAUUACAUGUUGUUGUCUCACCAUGCUAUCUUUAGAUGAAUGCACUAACUGUAAAUCACUCUGGAUAAGAGCAUCUGCUAAAUGACUAAAAUGUCAAAUGUAAUGAUUACAUUUCUUAAAGCUUGAUUUAUUCUCCCUACAAACAAAAACAAAACAGAACGGAAAGGCAAGAUGUUUCAGUGGCAAAAAAAUAGGUGACAGAAGAGGAUGGUACAAAACACAACCAGCCCUUAGGACCAAUCCACAGAGGACCAGAACACAGAGGACUGUGUGAGGGUGAACACACACACACACACACACACACACACACACACACACACACACACACACACACACACACACACACACACACACACACACACACACACA
rnacentral:lncRNA from 1 species